AUGUGUGCUCUCCCGAUGUGGCUACGGUGGUUCCAGCAGCAGUGGCUAUGGCAGUGGCAGAAGGUUUUAAUUACAGCCAGGAAACAAAGCUUAGCAGGAGAGGAGAGCCAGAGAAGUGACAGGGAAGCUACAGGUUACAACAGAUUUGUGAACUCAGCCAAGCACAGUGGUGGCAGGGCCUAACUGCUACAAAGAAGACAUGUUUUAGACAAUAC